UACGAAGGGUGCAAGCGUUACUCGGAAUUACUGGGCGUAAAGGGCUCGUAGGCGGCCAACUAAGUCAGACGUGAAAUCCCCAGGCUCAACCUGGGAACUGCGUCUGAUACUGGAUGGCUUGAAUCCGGGAGAGGGAUGCAGAAUUCCAGGUGUAGCGGUGAAAUGCGUAGAUAUCUGGAGGAAUACCGGUGGCGAAGGCGGCAUCCUGGACCAUUACUGACGCUGAGGCGCGAAAGCUAGGGGAGCAAACGGG
rnacentral:rRNA from 1 species